AGCCAUGAUGGCUAUGCUUGGCUUCCGCGGUUGGAGGCAGCCGUGCUUCUGAAGACCAGCUGCAGGAAACCACAGGAGGGGAGAGGGCUCUUGUGUUCGAAUCUUGCUCGUGGGGUUCCCCCGCAGGCAUCUGGUUGGCCGCUGUGAGAAGAGGAUACUGGGCCAUUGCUCCGUUGGUGGGGGCACUGCAAAAGGCUCAGCUCGUCAGUCUAGAUCACGGGCAUUCUUUCUCAUCUUGUACACUGAAGCAGUAUUUUUGUAAAGAAGGCCAUGGAAGAAGAUAAACCCCCAGGUCCUUCUUCUGGAGUGGGAUUGGACAAGAUGGAAGAAUUCCCUCCAGAUGUGCUGGAGCGGGAGACCGAGGGAGAAGGAAUGGAGGUUGAAGUGGAAGGGGAGAUCUUGCAUGAUCAAGAUGGAGCAAGGGAGAAAGGGGAAAAUGAGAGGGCUCAGUGGGUAUCUGAUCUGGAUGGAAUCUUCAAUGAACGAGAAGAUCCAGACAGGUGGAGUCAUGGUGCUCAUCUGGGAAUCUGUGGGGAAGGGAAGCAAUUUCAAAACUCAAAGCUUGGGAAAAGUGGCAGUCGCAGCAGAAAGACUUGUGAAUUUCUGUCACUCAGGACAAACAAGAAACAAUACAAAUGUUUGGAGUGCGGGAAGGGUUUCUACCGGAUUGCAAGCCUAAGCUUACACAAGACCUUUCACAUGCCCUUCAAAUGCAAUGAAUGCGGAAAGUGCUUCCAUCACAAAUCAAACCUGGGAUUCCACAAAAAAGUUCACCAGACAAUGAGGUCCAUGGACUGCGGAAAGAGGGUUCUACUGCCACGAAACCUCACGGAACCCCACACAACUCGCGACGAAACCAAAUAAUGUAAAUGUUUGUUGUGUGCAAGAAUAGCGGGUCUCCAGCUAGGCCUUGAGCUGCAUGGACCGUUCCAUACAAUGGAGAGACCAUACCGAUGUCUACACUGUGGUGAGAGCUUUGAUGCUGAGUCGAGGUUUCAUGAUCAUGAGAAUACCCACAGGAGGAGAACCACAUGAGCCACCUUGAAGGUGGUCAUGCUCUGAGAGCCUGGUUGACCUUGAGGGAUCCAACACCGACCAAAGGAGAUCUGUUGUUGUUGUUGUUUAGCUUAGGAAGGUGAUUGCAUGCUUGAUCCGGAGCUCACUGUCCUCUUGCAGUUGCAUAGCUUUUAAUUGCUUAGUUUGGGAGACACCGGGAUGUUCCCAUCACAAAGUAAACAUCUCAAUCAAGUGUGGGGAACCUCUAGCCCUUCAGAGUUGCUGAACUGCAACUCCCACCACCCCUGGCCAUGGCUCAUGCUUGUUGAAGCUGAUGGGAGUUGUAGUUCAGCAACGUCUGGAGCACCAAACAUUCUGUGCACCUGAUCUAAAUGCUCAGAUAAUAGUAAAGAGUCUUUUGACGACUGCAGUGAACCAUACAGUUUUGGACAUCGGAGUACAACUCUCACCUUCUCUAAUCAUUGGUCAUGCUAGCUGGGACUGAUGGGAGUUGGAGUCAUCAGCAACUGGAAAUGGGGGUGGGGGGAGUUGUCCUGGAUCGGAAUCUCUUUGCUUCUCCUUAAUAAUAGGCUGUUGCUGCUUUUUAGAUGGUGGUUGUGUUGCUAUAAUAAAGCUGAGUGUGUGCCUUUUUCUGUUUUCUGCUCUCUGU